rnacentral:rRNA from 1 species
AGAUUGAACGCUGGCGGCAGGCCUAACACAUGCAAGUCGAGCGGUAGAGAGGUGCUUGCACCUCUUGAGAGCGGCGGACGGGUGAGUAAUGCCUAGGAAUCUGCCUAGUGGUGGGGGAUAACGUUCGGAAACGGACGCUAAUACCGCAUACGUCCUACGGGAGAAAGCGGGGGACCUUCGGGCCUCGCGCCAUUAGAUGAGCCUAGGUCGGAUUAGCUAGUUGGUGAGGUAAUGGCUCACCAAGGCGACGAUCCGUAACUGGUCUGAGAGGAUGAUCAGUCACACUGGAACUGAGACACGGUCCAGACUCCUACGGGAGCAGCAGUGGGGAAUAUUGGACAAAGUGGGCGAAAGCCUGAUCCAGCCAUGCCGCGUGUGUGAAGAAGGUCUUCGGAUUGUAAAAGCAACUUUAAGUUGGAGGAAGGGUUGUAACUUAAUACGUUGCAACUUUGACGUUACGACAGAAUAAGCACCGGCUAACUUCGUGCCAGCAGCCGACG